rnacentral:rRNA from 1 species
UACGGAGGGGGCGAGCGUUGUCCGAAGUUACUGGGCGUAAAGCGCGCGUAGGUGGGUGGGCAAGUCCGCUGUGAAAGCCUGCGGCUUAACCGCAGAGGGUCGGUGGAUACUGCCCGUCUUGAAGGUGCUAGGGAGAGAUGGAAUUACCGGUGUAGCGGUGAAAUGCGUAGAGAUCGGUAGGAACACCAGUGGCGAAGGCGGUCUCUUGGAGCACUCUUGACGCUGAGGCGCGAAAGCUGGGGGGAGCGAACGGGG